CAACGCCAAUACACAAAUUCCUGACUUGUCCCCAAACCCCAGUCGGCGACUCAGCUGAAACCCUGGUAUAAAUAAGUAUACACACAGCUAUAGAUACGAUAGGAUGGAUUCAGAUCAGGGGAAGCUGUUUAUUGGUGGGAUAUCAUGGGACACGACUGAGGAGAAGCUGAGUGAGUAUUUUGGGAAUUAUGGGGAGGUUUUGUUGACAUCUGUCAUGAAAGAUAAGCUUACGGGAAAGCCUAGAGGCUUUGGCUUUGUUGUCUUUGCAGAUCCUUCUGUUCUUGAUGCUGUUCUUCAGGAGAAACAUGUCAUUGAUGGCAGAUUGGUUGAGCCUAAGAGGGCCAUGUCUAGGGAAGAACAACAAGUGUCGAAGGCUGGGAACCCAAGUUCUGGCAGAAGCUAUGGGGGUGGUGAUGUUAGGACUAAGAAAAUUUUUGUUGGGGGUUUACCUCCAACAUUGAGUGAAGAAGAAUUUCGUCAGUAUUUUGAGGCUUAUGGGCAAGUUACUGAUGUGGUGGUUAUGUAUGACCAGCAGACUAAUCGUCCACGUGGGUUUGGUUUUAUAUCUUUUGAUACCGAGGAUGCAGUUGAUCGGGUUUUGCACAAAAACUUCCAUGAUUUGAACGGUAAGCAAGUGGAAGUUAAAAGGGCUCUUCCCAGAGAUUCCAAUGCUGGUGGGGGUGGUCGUACUAUGGGUGGCGGUGUAAGCCGUGGUGGUGGAGGUUAUCCGAGCUAUGGCGCAUCUGGUGGCAAUGUAAGUUCAUAUGAUGGUCGUGAUUCGAGCAGGUACAUGCAGUCUCAGAAUACUGGUGGUGGUUAUCCAUCAUAUGGAUCAUCUGGAUAUGGUGCAUCUAGUAAUUGGUACGGUCCUGGUGGUAAUGGCGCUGGUUCUGGUGGCUAUGGUAGUUAUGGUGGUGCCAAUCCUGGGUAUGGUGGUCCUGCUGGGGCCUCAUAUGGAAACCCUAAUGUCCCAAAUACUGGUUAUGGUUCUUAUGGUAGUGGUCCAGCAGGUGCUUCAAGGAAUGCAUAUGGUGCCCAUGCAUCUUCUGGAUAUGGUAAUACUCAGUGGGGUGCUUCGGGUGGCUCUAACGGUGGUCCUGGUGGUGCACCUGUUUCUGUGCCCACAGGUCAAUCUCCUAGUGGAGCUGCUGCCUAUGGGAACCAAGGUUAUGGCUAUGGUGGAUAUGGUGGACCGGAUGGGUCAUAUGGAAAUCCAGCUGCAUAUGGUGCUGUUGGGGGUCGGCCUGGUGGUGCCCCAAAUAGUUCAUCUGCUGGUGGUGAAGUACAAUCUGGCAGUGGAGGAUACAUGGGUGGUAAUUAUGGGGAUCCAACAGGGAAUUCAGGAUACGGAAACCAAGGAUGGAGAUCUGACCCCUCGCAAGGUUCUGGUAGUUAUGGGGCACCUAGUGGCGGACAAGUUGGAUAUGGCGGUGGUUAUGGCGCACCACAACAGUAAUUUUGAUAUCGUGAGUCUGGUUCUGAAAAAGCCACACAGUUGAUGUUCUAAAGGGCUGUUGCAGCAAACAAUUGAUGCAUCAUGCAUUUAACAAUUGAAAUGGAGGAGGUAUGCUUGAUAACCAAUUUGAUGUGUCAUGGCUAUAAAAAAGCUUCAUGCUAAGGAUUCUGAAGCAAGGCCGUGAAGAUCUGACAGUGCCACUGAGGUUGUGGGGUGAAAUUGAAGUGUUCAGAGGCUAAACUCGGGAGUUCAUGUGGGUAUCCUGCACACUUUAAAUAACAUUAGUUAAUUUGCCUAUUGUUUGGGCUUUGAUUAGACCAGGACAAAAGGAGUAAAAGUUGCUACCAAAAUUUUAUACUUUUAGAUUCUAGGUGAAUACAAGCCUUUCUUUCUUUUUUUGCUAAAUAGAAUACAAGCCUUUUUUUAAUGUUA